GGUUAAGCGACUAAGCGUACACGGUGGAUGCCCUGGCAGUCAGAGGCGAUGAAGGACGUGCUAAUCUGCGAUAAGCGUCGGUAAGGUGAUAUGAACCGUUAUAACCGGCGAUUUCCGAAUGGGGAAACCCAGUGUGUUUCGACACACUAUCAUUAACUGAAUCCAUAGGUUAAUGAGGCGAACCGGGGGAACUGAAACAUCUAAGUACCCCGAGGAAAAGAAAUCAACCGAGAUUCCCCCAGUAGCGGCGAGCGAACGGGGAGCAGCCCAGAGCCUGAAUCAGUAUGUGUGUUAGUGGAAGCGUCUGGAAAGGCGCGCGAUACAGGGUGACAGCCCCGUACACAAAAAUGCACAUAUUGUGAGCUCGAUGAGUAGGGCGGGACACGUGGUAUCCUGUCUGAAUAUGGGGGGACCAUCCUCCAAGGCUAAAUACUCCUGACUGACCGAUAGUGAACCAGUACCGUGAGGGAAAGGCGAAAAGAACCCCGGCGAGGGGAGUGAAAAAGAACCUGAAACCGUGUACGUACAAGCAGUGGGAGCACGCUUAGGCGUGUGACUGCGUACCUUUUGUAUAAUGGGUCAGCGACUUAUAUUCUGUAGCAAGGUUAACCGAAUAGGGGAGCCGAAGGGAAACCGAGUCUUAACUGGGCGUUAAGUUGCAGGGUAUAGACCCGAAACCCGGUGAUCUAGCCAUGGGCAGGUUGAAGGUUGGGUAACACUAACUGGAGGACCGAACCGACUAAUGUUGAAAAAUUAGCGGAUGACUUGUGGCUGGGGGUGAAAGGCCAAUCAAACCGGGAGAUAGCUGGUUCUCCCCGAAAGCUAUUUAGGUAGCGCCUCGUGAAUUCAUCUCCGGGGGUAGAGCACUGUUUCGGCAAGGGGGUCAUCCCGACUUACCAACCCGAUGCAAACUGCGAAUACCGGAGAAUGUUAUCACGGGAGACACACGGCGGGUGCUAACGUCCGUCGUGAAGAGGGAAACAACCCAGACCGCCAGCUAAGGUCCCAAAGUCAUGGUUAAGUGGGAAACGAUGUGGGAAGGCCCAGACAGCCAGGAUGUUGGCUUAGAAGCAGCCAUCAUUUAAAGAAAGCGUAAUAGCUCACUGGUCGAGUCGGCCUGCGCGGAAGAUGUAACGGGGCUAAACCAUGCACCGAAGCUGCGGCAGCGACACUAUGUGUUGUUGGGUAGGGGAGCGUUCUGUAAGCCU
rnacentral:rRNA from 1 species